UACGUAGGGUGCAAGCGUUAUCCGGAAUUAUUGGGCGUAAAGAGCUCGUAGGCGGUUUGUCGCGUCUGCUGUGAAAACUGGAGGCUCAACCUCCAGCCUGCAGUGGGUACGGGCAGACUAGAGUGCGGUAGGGGAGAUUGGAAUUCCUGGUGUAGCGAUGGAAUGCGCAGAUAUCAGGAGGAACACCGAUGGCGAAGGCAGAUCUCUGGGCCGUAACUGACGCUGAGGAGCGAAAGCGUGGGGAGCGAACAGG
rnacentral:rRNA from 1 species